AUACGGAGGGUGCGAGCGUUAAUCGGAAUUACUGGGCGUAAAGCGUGCGUAGGCGGUUUGCUAAGUCAGAUGUGAAAGCCCCGGGCUUAACCUGGGAACUGCAUUUGAUACUGGCAGACUAGAGUAUGCUAGAGGGGGGUAGAAUUCCUGGUGUAGCGGUGAAAUGCGUAGAUAUCAGGAGGAAUACCAGUGGCGAAGGCGGCCCCCUGGAUCAAUACUGACGCUGAGGUACGAAAGCGUGGGGAGCGAACAGAAUUAGAUACCCUAGUAGUCC
rnacentral:rRNA from 1 species